CACCCCAGGUGUUAAUCACCUGUAGUUAUGGUUAAUCGUGUAUUUGAUAUCGUUGUUAGCACUAACCUUGCAUGCAUAAAAUCUUUUAAUUACAUUUUUUGCUAGCUUGUUAACACAUGAAAUGAUGACUAAUUUUCAAAUCCAAUGAAACAUGCUUUAAAAAUAAUUUUUAAAUUCUUGCUCAAAUAAACUUUUGCCUAAAAACAAAGUUGUAGAGUUUGGAAUGGCGAAAAACUUUCGUGUUUAUGGUUUUUCAAGUUUCAGUACAAAAAUUUGAUGAAAACUUUUAAUUUUGCUUUGAAUAGGACAUUAAUGCUUUGGUUUUAACAUUUCAAAUUUUGAACCAUGAUUUGAUCUUCAAAUAAAGUUUUGCCUAAAACAAAAGUUGGAGGAAAUCAAAUUUUGAACAACUUUCAUUCUUGGAAUUUUUCGAGUUUCUAUAUGAAGUUUUGAGUUUUGGACGGUCAAAAUCGAGCUAAGUUUCGUUGAACCAUUUUCUCCCGGUGUUUAUCUGCUCCCUUCCGCCACCCAUGGCCACGUGACGCGCGGCGAGCACCUGCUCGCCGACGUGCUGUGCGCGCCACGCGCCGGCUCCCGUGGCAGCCUGGGCACGAGCCUUCGCGACCUCCCCGGCCUUAUCCUCUCUCGGCAUCUCUAUCCACUCCCUCUCCCCCUUCCAGUUCCUCCCUCCUCUAGCUUGGUCGAGCCGAGCAGAGCCGCUAUCGCCGCCGCUCCGGCCAUCCUGGGCCACCGCGCCUCGAUUCACUCCGCGAGGAGCCGCACCACAUCCACCCGCACCUCCUCCCGCAACCUCAACUCCCGGCCAAGCUCUCCCCAGUUGGAAUCGACACCCCCGCCCACCGGUCUCCAUUAAAGUUUCGUCGAAACUCAGGCCGUCGCCGAACUCCAUCUCUCGGCCACAGUUUCCACCAACCAACGGCUAGAAUCGACUCCUCUCGACUCGCUGAAGCUCGUGCUCUCCACGUUCCAUCGCGUUCCACAAGUUUCCAUGCUCGUUCAUGGCGCCGCCACCGCCGCCGCUCACUGCUCCCGGCGCCGGCGCCUCUCCGGUCGCCCCCAACCCUCAACGAGACCACCCAGAGGUACGCUAGAUGUACGACGCGUGGAGCUAAAGGAUAAAGUCGGAGCCGGACCCGAAGAUGAUGUUUGGUUGACAUAUCCAGAAGAUGGAUGGAUGGAUCCCGAUGUGCACGACCGAAGGCAGGUGCUCGUCAAGCGAGUGUCAUCUAACCAACACUAACUAAUUCAGUGUUAAUCCCAGGCAAGCCCCGGAGCAUAACCCUUAACUUCAGUAUUCAAUGUUUAUUUAUAUAAUUAUUGUGCAUUUACGUUCUA